rnacentral:rRNA from 1 species
AAAUUGAAGAGUUUGAUCAUGGCUCAGAUUGAACGCUGGCGGCAGGCCUAACACAUGCAAGUCGAACGGUAACAGGAAGCAGCUUGCUGCUUCGCUGACGAGUGGCGGACGGGUGAGUAAUGUCUGGGAAACUGCCUGAUGGAGGGGGAUAACUACUGGAAACGGUAGCUAAUACCGCAUAAUGUCGCAAGACCAAAGAGGGGGAUCUUCGGGCCUCUUGCCAUCGGAUGUGCCCAGAUGGGAUUAGCUUGUUGGUGGGGUAACGGCUCACC